rnacentral:rRNA from 1 species
AAAUUGAAGAGUUUGAUCAUGGCUCAGAUUGAACGCUGGCGGCAGGCCUAACACAUGCAAGUCGAGCGGUAGCACAGAGAGCUUGCUCUCGGGUGACGAGCGGCGGACGGGUGAGUAAUGUCUGGGAAACUGCCUGAUGGAGGGGGAUAACUACUGGAAACGGUAGCUAAUACCGCAUAACGUCGCAAGACCAAAGUGGGGGACCUUCGGGCCUCAUGCCAUCAGAUGUGCCCAGAUGGGAUUAGCUAGUAGGUGGGGUAACGGCUCACCUAGGCGACGAUCCCUAGCUGGUCUGAGAGGAUGACCAGCCACACUGGAACUGAGACACGGUCCAGACUCCUACGGGAGGCAGCAGUGGGGAAUAUUGCACAAUGGGCGCAAGCCUGAUGCAGCCAUGCCGCGUGUGUGAAGAAGGCCUUCGGGUUGUAAAGCACUUUCAGCGGGGAGGAAGGCGGUGAGGUUAAUAACCUCAUCGAUUGACGUUACCCGCAGAAGAAGCACCGGCUAACUCCGUGCCAGCAGCCGCGGUAAUACGGAGGGUGCAAGCGUUAAUCGGAAUUACUGGGCGUAAAGCGCACGCAGGCGGUCUGUCAAGUCGGAUGUGAAAUCCCCGGGCUCAACCUGGGAACUGCAUUCGAAACUGGCAGGCUAGAGUCUUGUAGAGGGGGGUAGAAUUCCAGGUGUAGCGGUGAAAUGCGUAGAGAUCUGGAGGAAUACCGGUGGCGAAGGCGGCCCCCUGGACAAAGACUGACGCUCAGGUGCGAAAGCGUGGGGAGCAAACAGGAUUAGAUACCCUGGUAGUCCACGCUGUAAACGAUGUCGAUUUGGAGGUUGUGCCCUUGAGGCGUGGCUUCCGGAGCUAACGCGUUAAAUCGACCGCCUGGGGAGUACGGCCGCAAGGUUAAAACUCAAAUGAAUUGACGGGGGCCCGCACAAGCGGUGGAGCAUGUGGUUUAAUUCGAUGCAACGCGAAGAACCUUACCUGGUCUUGACAUCCACAGAACUUUCCAGAGAUGGAUUGGUGCCUUCGGGAACUGUGAGACAGGUGCUGCAUGGCUGUCGUCAGCUCGUGUUGUGAAAUGUUGGGUUAAGUCCCGCAACGAGCGCAACCCUUAUCCUUUGUUGCCAGCGGUCCGGCCGGGAACUCAAAGGAGACUGCCAGUGAUAAACUGGAGGAAGGUGGGGAUGACGUCAAGUCAUCAUGGCCCUUACGACCAGGGCUACACACGUGCUACAAUGGCAUAUACAAAGAGAAGCGACCUCGCGAGAGCAAGCGGACCUCAUAAAGUAUGUCGUAGUCCGGAUUGGAGUCUGCAACUCGACUCCAUGAAGUCGGAAUCGCUAGUAAUCGUAGAUCAGAAUGCUACGGUGAAUACGUUCCCGGGCCUUGUACACACCGCCCGUCACACCAUGGGAGUGGGUUGCAAAAGAAGUAGGUAGCUUAACCUUCGGGAGGGCGCUUACCACUUUGUGAUUCAUGACUGGGGUGAAGUCGUAACAAGGUAACCGUAGGGGAACCUGCGGUUGGAUCACCUCCUUACCUUAAAGAA